GACGAACGCUGGCGGCGUGCCUAAUACAUGCAAGUAGAACGCUGAAGAGAGGAGCUUGCUCUUCUUGGAUGAGUUGCGAACGGGUGAGUAACGCGUAGGUAACCUGCCUUGUAGCGGGGGAUAACUAUUGGAAACGAUAGCUAAUACCGCAUAACAAUGGAUGACACAUGUCAUUUAUUUGAAAGGGGCAAUUGCUCCACUACAAGAUGGACCUGCGUUGUAUUAGCUAGUAGGUGAGGUAAUGGCUCACCUAGGCGACGAUACAUAGCCGACCUGAGAGGGUGAUCGGCCACACUGGGACUGAGACACGGCCCAGACUCCUACGGGAGGCAGCAGUAGGGAAUCUUCGGCAAUGGGGGCAACCCUGACCGAGCAACGCCGCGUGAGUGAGGAAGGGUUUCGGAUCGUAAAGCUCUGUUGUAAGUCAAGAACGGGUGUGAGAGUGGAAAGUUCACACUGUGACGGUAGCUUACCAGAAAGGGACGGCUAACUACGUG
rnacentral:rRNA from 1 species